GGGCAAUUGGUCUAGGGGUAUGAUUUUCGCUUCGCAAGUUCCAAACCAACGUUGUAAACGGUCACCGGUUUGAAUCCGGUAUUGUCCA